GUGCGACUGCGCACAGUCUAAUCCGCGGAGGGAAGAGAAUUGCGCAUGCGCGCCUGUCUCCCGGGACGCUAGAGCAGGCGAUACCCUGGCUGCUCCGGUAGGUUUGGCGUGCGCGGGUUUCUGCAGAUCUAGGGCGAGCUUGCACGUUACAUCACCGAUGCAUCUCUUCUUGCUUGCUUAAUUUGCCAACACUUAGGCCUUUCUUGCAGAAUUCGCCAUAUACUCCUUAAGGGCCGCGGAAUCGGAGCAACCUUGUUGACUGAUUGGCAAACUCUCGGCAGAUGUGCGUGCGCUGGUUGGAUGCAGUGGUUGUAGGCGAUUUAAUUUUUCCCAGCUUUGCAGCGACUGUUGGCCCUGUUAGCUUCCCAGAACGGAUCUCCCCAGCCUCGACUGGAAGCUGAGGGACAAAAAUUCAUAAAAGCAAUUACUCUUUCCCGGCGAGGCUUCUAGAAGAGCAAGAACAGCGAUAUAAUUACACCUGCAGGCCUAUAAAGAUUGAUCUGUCCGUUUUUUCCUUACAGUCGUGGCCUGUUAGCGUUCCUGUGUUUUUCAGUGCCAGAAUGAGUGACCGCUAUUUAGAACAAAGGAUCAGUAUCAAAUUUUGCGUGAAAUUGAACAAGUCUGCAAGUGAGACCCACCAUCUUUUAAAAGAAGCUUAUGGGGAAGAAGUCAUGUCAAGGGCCAGAGUUUUUGACUGGCACAAAAGGUUUAAAGAAGGACGGGAAGAUGUUCGAGAUGAUGCCAGAAGUGGGCGUCCGGUCACCCACCGAACAGAUGACAAUAUCCAGAAGGUCAAGGACUUGGUUUGUUCAAACAGGCAGUUAACCGUGAGGAUGAUGGCCGAAGAGUUAAAUUUAGACAAAGAAACUGUUAGGCUCAUUUUGAAAGAAAACUUGAACAUGAGGAAGGUUUCUGCAAAAGUUAUUUCGGGUGUUUUGAAGGGUGAGCCUAAACCACGAAAACUUGACUUUCAGUCCAAUCUUUCAAAGGAAACUAGGAAAAAAAGCUCAUGUUUGAGGAAAAAGGUAACAGGUUCUGAAACAUGGAGUUAUCUCCAGGGUGAGGCUGAUGGGGAAAUGCCCCUGUCCGUAUCCCAUCCCAGAGUCCACUACCCUGCCAGCCAGCUUCUGCAGGCCUCAUCUUCAACAAGCCUUCCCCCCAGGGUAGCUGAGGAUUGGUUCACCCCAUGGUGAGAGGAAUGUGAGUUAGCUGAACCAGAACUAGGGUGCUGCCUCACUGUUAGGCACCUUCUUUGGCUGCUCACCUAUUUUUCAGUCUUCACUACUCCUCCCUAUGUACCAUGGCCCUCCUCAUUACUCUUUGCUGGACUAUUGGACCAUUUUCCUUGCUGUUCUUCAUAACUGAAAAACUUCUGGCUGUUCCCUUCUGGUAUUUGCUUGUUCUUGAUUUCUUUUGCUCAACAAGUUUGGAUUUCUUCUCUGCCCAGACCUUAGCUUGUUGUGGCUGUCCUGUUCCUUUGUUCUCAACAUUCUGCCUCAGAGGAUCAUGCCAGUGAGAAGAGAGGAACAGGAGCUCCUGGAAUCUGUAUCUCUGUGCCCAGGGAGGCAUGCUCUUCUGGGAGGACCCCAAAAGAAGGCUUACAGUUUCAGCCUGCUUCGCAGUCAGGGCCUGAGGUCUGCACGGUCUAUGAAUUUUCAACGAGCAGUGAUUCUGUUCCUCAUCUUUCAUUGCUUUAUGGGACUUCAGGGAAUGAAAGCAUAACAUCCUGCUUUCCCAUAAGUUCUCUGGCUGCUGCACUGGCACCAAUUAAAGACAGGUCUAUGCAAUUAAUCAAAACCAAUUUGGAAGCACUCUGGCGCUGUUCCUCUGAUGUACUGCCUACUCCACAUACAGUAGUUCCUCAGCUGCGGUGAUGGAGCCAGGCACAUAGGAGCUUUUGAUGAACUGGCUGUACCGGCCCCAAGUGUUAACUAUGUCAUCUGACAUGACUAAUGAGGCUCCGGACUUGAUCCGCGUGAGCGGAGCAGCCCUGCUGUCUGGAGGAGGCUCAGUUUCCACAGCCAGCCUGGGAAGAGGCUGCAACGUGCAGGGUACACACUGCAUCAUGUCAGCUGGAGUCCUGGAGGCCUCUAGUGUUGGAACUGGGAGUCAUCCAUGGAGAGGGUGAUGGAAACUGUGCGCCAGGCUUUGUGUUGGGUGCCAGUGUGAAUGUGACCCAAUUUAAACUUCUAGCUCAGCCUCCUCAUUUUAGACCUGAAAAUCAAGACCCAGCAAAAGUGUGAGGCUUGCCAAAGACCUGAACUUUGGAGAGAGAAAUGAUGGAGAAGGCAUGGUCUCUGCCCUGGAUGAGAGGUAAAUAUGUAUGAGGGUAACAACUGGGGCCUGGUGCAAGUAUACUUCAUCAAGGUUAACCAUAGGCUUCCUUUCUUCCUUCUGCAAACCUUUAUCAAGGAGAAGAGUUGCUUGUGCCCUUGUCACCUCAGCAUUUCCAAGAGCAUGGAAUUUGGAGUCAACAGAUCUGGGUUUGAGUCCCAGCCCUACUUUGAGUUGAUGUAAUCUUGCAAAUCACUUCAUUUUUCUGAGCCUUGGUUUCCUCAGCUGUAACACUGGAACAGGCCAAAUACUGCCCAACCAACCUACCUCCAUGAGCCCUUGUGUGACUCAACUGAGUUAAUAGGUGUGAAAGUGUAAGUAAGAGCCUCUGCACAUGUUAGUUAUUAUUCCAGUUAUCAUCCCCCUAAGGAGCACUGGCUGAAAUCUCUGGAAUAUGGAUCCACAGAUAGCUUUAACUCUCUUCCUCUUCCUGCCUCUUUCAAAUGGACAUAAAAACCAAUUGGUCAUCUGCCUAUAAUCUCAACAGCUUUCCCAGAGAGCCCAUGCAUAGAAAGAGGAAGAAUUCAACCAUUGUAAAUUAAUGUCAUUCCAUACAUUGAUUGAGCACCUACCACAUGCCAGACAUUGUGUGAGGGAUCAGAGUUGGAUAAGACAUAUUUCUUGGCCACCUUGAGAAGCUCACCAUUUAGUAGGAGAAACAGACAUGGGCAUAAAUAAUUAUCAUGUACUGUAGACAAAUGCAAUUGCCAUAGGAAAGAUACAAAUCAAGUGUUUUGGGAGCCAGAGGAUAGAAUGAUUCAUUCCCCAAAAGGAGAUUGGAAAAAUGUUCAUCAAUGAAGUGGUAUUGAAGGAUGGGCAGGGCUUAGCUCUGUCAGGAAGAAUGAGACAGGGCAUUCCAGACAGAGAGACCAGCAUAGGCAAAUGUAUGAAAUCUGGAAAGGAAUGGUGAUCUAAAGGGUAGAAUAAAAUCAAAUGAGGUAUGGGGUGUGAGCAUGAACCAAAGAAAAAUCACUGCACCCCAGGCAUAAAUGUUGCUGUUUCACUGUUCUCUUUGCUGGCUAAAGUCAUCUUGGCCUCUGUUCCUCAGUUAGAGAGAAUCCCACAUUGGCCCUUCCUCCAGCAAAGCCAAACCCAAGCCCCAGCCAGCAGAGGUGAAACAAAUGAACAGGGAUCAACAAUACCAUUAGAUGCAAAAAUUCUUGAACUGGGAAGUGCCAGGUCACAGGCACACCUCCCCAGCCAGGGUAAGAGCUUGAUCAGAUGUGGCAAUGACACCAACCCUGGAGCAUGAUGGCAAGGAACUUAAGCCUCUUGGCAUGGGUCACACGCUACAUUUUUCUCCUUCCCCCCUUCAUCCAAAAGGAACUAGCUUCUUCUUUAUGAGUGCUGCUGUCAGAAUGGCUUUGGAAAUCCUAGAGCUGCAGCUGGACUCAAGGCAUGGCCGUGGGCCACCCCAGGGACUCGUAUUUUCUGUCUUUCUAUCUUUCAUUGUGAAUUGUUUUUUUAUUGUGCAAAUAAUACAGUGUUAAGAACGGAAACUUCAAUAAGAGAAAGAGGAAAGAGAGCACCCACUCACACAUUAUCUGUUUCCAUUUCUCCUUACCCCUUCCUGCUGUUGUCCAUGAGCAUAAUUUUUCUGACCGCUUUUAUUUCUGAUACAACUACGUAUUCUGUUUUUAUUGCUUAGCCUUGUAUCAUACAGUUUUUUUCUCUUUUGCUACUUAUUGCCAGCCCCUCGUGUCCACACUGGCUUAGCAUUGUUCUCCCAAGACUGAAGAAAUAUGCCAGGGGUCAUGUAAAGGGACUUUCCACAGGUAACAUGAUCAUCAUCGACAACUGGCAUCAUGUGGCAGAGGAAAAGCACCGACUGCUCUGCCAUCAUGUUGAUGUGGGUUGGAAUCUCAGCUCCUCUACUUUGAAGCCAGCUAGCCCUGAGCAGAUCAUUCUAUCUCUUUGAGCCGCAUCUGUAAGAUGGGGAUGGCAUUAGUACCAUCCUAUGGUACUGGGCCCAGCAGGCCCGCUGGGUGAGCCCACCUAAAUUAUGACAGGCAUACCAGUCUGCAUAUUUAUUAUUCACUGGGUGAAUUUGCUAUCUUUUACUUAAGUAUUCUCCUCUGAUGAAACUUGUUUUUGUGCAGUUUUUCACUAUUUCCCAUAAUGAUGCAAAAAAAAAAAAAAAAAAAAUACCAGUGUGUGCUGCUCACUCUAUGGUUUAAAAAUUGUAUUUUCUCAGGAACAAUCCCCAGGAGUAGGAUCACUGGGAUAGAGGAUAGAAACAUUUUCAAGGUUUCUGAUGUGUAUUUCCAAAUUGCUUUUCGGAUUUGUACCUGUUAUGCUGCCACCAAUUUGAGGAAGGGGACCACUUGGGCUACAUUGGAGGCUGCUGGGCUCUGGUCACAAACUUCUGUCUCUGCUUUAUUUCUACCAUUGUCUUCUCCUAACAUGGCUCCUGAACUUCUCACUCCAUGGGACAGUUCAUUGUUUGUCCCCAAAAUGAUGCUCCCAUGCUUUUGUGCCUUUGUACUUCCUAUUAUUCUUCACCACCCUUGCCCAAGAAUUUUCUUCCUUUAAGAUACCCACUCACCUUAGAGUUCAACCUUUGUGGAACUGAGAACUUCUAUACUCUCUUCAAGACCCAGCUCAAACACCCCUUUCUCUGUGAACCAGUUCCAAUCCCCCCAAGCAGAGUUCGUCACUUUUUAUUAUAGACCUAGUCUUUUUUUUUUUUUUUUUUUUAAGGGUAUUCCUGAAACACCAAGGUUCAGACAUUAUCUACUGACUUUGAACAAUGGAAGGUUUCUCUAAUAGCGCUUCCCUCCUCCAUUAUCUAAUAUAAUUGUAUCUACAAUUAUUUAACAAUUUUUGGUUAAUCAUUUUGCAGUGUUUAUACAUUAUGACCACAGAAGUCAUUAAAAUAUAUUUGUCCUCUGAGAUACCAACAUCUCUUCCGGGGCUGCUGUCUCUCCUGGUGAGGUUUGAGCCUCCUGGGGGCAGGUGGAACACGCAGGGACAGGGGCUGAUAUGUGGGAAGUGAGGGUAGCUGGCUAUUACCUGGCAGCCAGGUGGCACCAGAACAGUCUCAGGAUGGUUCUCAUGCGGGGCUCCCUGGGCCAGGUAGGUGUAGCAAGCAAGGCUCAGGUCAGCCUUUUGGGGGAGCCAAAGGCAGUGCCCAGGAGGGACUGGAGGCUGCUGACUGGCACAGAAACUGACUGAUCUGAACAAACGCUGGCCUCUUGAACAGGGUUCUGGGGCCCCUGGCUAUAUGCCAGGUACUGUCUUUUUAGUAGCUGGAUCUGAUGGAUAGCCAUAGUUAAGCCAUCAUAAUGCCUGGGAUAUAGCUGGACCUGACAGAUUUGGUCAUCAUACUGUUCUUUCAAAGAGUUUGAGAGAAGACUUAGUGAUGGAGAUACAGAAACUAAGCAAAAGAAAACAAAAAGGCAAUUAUUAAUGUAGGAGAAACUGAAAUCUUAACAAGAAUGGAAAUAUACUCACAGACCCCUAUAUGGCUUAAUUAUGAAUAACAUUUACAUAGUCAUAACCCCGGCCAACAGGACUGCAUUAGGUACGUUCGACUGUAUUGGUUAUUAAAGUGUUGAAAUAUUUCUAUACUGGCUAGUAAAUAGUAACCACCCCCAAGCUCCCUGGGUACCCUGUUGCCACUGCACCAGCCAUCCCGCCCACCCCCUCCCCCCGCCUCUUAGAAUUCCCUGGAACUUCCCAGGAUCCAUCAGAUCCAGUUACUAAAAAGACAGUACCUGGCAUAUAGCCAGGGGCCCCAGAACCCUGUUCAAGAUAUAUAAUUUGUAACAUAUAAUUUUGCUUAAUUUUAAUACUUAAAUGUUAAUAGCCACACGUGGUUAAUGGCUACCGUGUUGGACAGCACAGAUCUAGAAUGAUGUGUUUUCCUGACAGGAAGCUGCUGAUAUAAUACUUGAUAUGAAAGUGGUCAUGGGAAACUGACCCUCCAUGAUAGGAAUCUGGGAUUGUAAUAUGACCUGAGUGGGCUUGAAUUCAAUGAUGACUUCAUUGCCAGUAGAAAAUGGGAUACUGUAUCAGGGAAGAGUUCCAACCUCAUGGAAGAUGACAAGGAGUAACAGGACUCCAAAUUGGCUUGCCACAACUCUAUGGGAGCUGAAAGUAGGCAAGACCCAGUGGAUCAGAAAAAGAUAGUAUAGCAAACAAAAGGGCCAAGAGCAUGGUAGAGCGAGUUUCCUUGCCCUCAAAUCCCACGAGUCAAUACAAUGGCCCAGAUGGCAGCUAUGCGUGCCUUGGGGCUGUCAUGUCACCAAGGAAUCGUGGGCUAAGGGCAGAACCUUUUAUAGCAAGCAGUUCACAAGCCAGUCUCCUUUCCCUGGAGAGCGAAUUGCUGCACAUUGUGGUCACCUUGACCUACCUACCUAACUGCUUUUGUGACUAAUUAUAUAAACUAUUCAGGGUCAGAAAAUGGUUAGUCCUUGCUGUUUGGGACAAACAAGAAUAUACAAGGAUAUUUGGAGGUCGGCAAACUGUAUUUCCCAACAACUGUCCACGGCAGUCCAUGGCACGCAAUAGCAAAAGUUACUUAAACUAGCGCCUUGUGAAUAACUGGGAUGAAAUGCCUUCAAAGGCAAGUCUUUGGAAGACCAAAUGGCUGCUGAAAUGCACUACUAAGGUGAGAAUUGUGACCAAGGAUUUUAAGAUGAAUCAGUUGCUUCUGACGGUGCCAAAGUUCUUAUAAAAAAAAAAAUUCAAGCUCAGCAUUCUAAACUCUCAGUUCUAGGCGUGUUCAGAGAACCAGAGAGCUUCCAUUAUAGCUUUAAAAUAUAUAUGUAUUUAUAACUAAUAUACAAAACUAUAUAUAAAUAGGUUAAUUAUAUUAAUAUUGACAUUAAUUAUAUAAUAUAUAAUCUAUUAUAGCUAUGGGACUAAGAUCAUUGAAAGUCAAACCCAAAUUUUAAUCCUGUGGGUGCAGAAUUACAAUGUUCGUAGAAAUCACAGGUGCCUCAAGUUUCUUACAGGAAAGUUAGAGCAUUAAAUGGGAAGAAAUGGGACCCUGAAAUAUGGAAGUGAAACAUUUGGUUCACCUUGGAGAAAUAUGAGAAUCUGGAAUGCCUAAAUCCUCCUGAGCUCCAGAAAAAAUUUAAAAAAGAAGUUUAAGGGUCUCUUUUCUACCUAAUUUCUUGGAGAAGCAUGGGAAUGUGAUUGUUUUUAAAAAAUCAAUCUCUGCGUAUCCAAGUGUGUGUGCAUGUAUGUGUGUGCAUGUUGUGAGAAAGAAACAAAAAUCUAGGAUGAACAUGUGCAUAAAUGUACACGCAUCCCCCUAAGACCAUUGGGAAACUCUGUGUUUGAAGACAGAAUGUAAAAAUUUAAAGCUCUUUCCAAGUCAAAUGAAUUUAGGUGUCCUGCUUCCUCCAGAUCACUUUGGCUUUAUGUCCCGCCCUGCGUGCUAUUAUACUGGAGGUAGGAAAGAUCCAUGAGGAAAAACAAACUUCUCAAUAAUAAAUCUAUCAGCCUUGGAUGUA